GCUUACGGCCAUACCACCCUGAGCACGCCCGAUCUCGUCUGAUCUCGGAAGCUAAGCAGGGUCGGGCCUGGUUAGUACUUGGAUGGGAGACCUGCCUAGGGAAUACCAGGUGCUCUAAGCU
rnacentral:rRNA from 1 species